rnacentral:rRNA from 1 species
GAUGAACGCUGGCGGCGUGCCUAAUACAUGCAAGUCGAGCGAACGGACGAGAAGCUUGCUUCUCUGAUGUUAGCGGCGGACGGGUGAGUAACACGUGGAUAACCUACCUAUAAGACUGGGAUAACUUCGGGAAACCGGAGCUAAUACCGGAUAAUAUUUUGAACCGCAUGGUUCAAAAGUGAAAGACGGUCUUGCUGUCACUUAUAGAUGGAUCCGCGCUGCAUUAGCUAGUUGGUAAGGUAACGGCUUACCAAGGCAACGAUGCAUAGCCGACCUGAGAGGGUGAUCGGCCACACUGGAACUGAGACACGGUCCAGACUCCUGCGGGAGGCAGCAGUAGGGAAUCUUCCGCAAUGGGCGAAAGCCUGACGGAGCAACGCCGCGUGAGUGAUGAAGGUCUUCGGAUCGUAAAACCCUGUUAUUAGGGAAGAACAUAUGUGUAAGUAACUGUGCACAUCUUGACGGUACCUAAUCAGAAAGCCACGGCUAACUACGUG